rnacentral:rRNA from 1 species
UGAGGAAUAUUGCGCAAUGGGGGAAACCCUGACGCAGCAACGCCGUGUGAGUGAUGAAGGCUCUCGGGUCGUAAAACUCUGUCAGAUAGGACGAAUCUUCAGAGGUAAAUAGCUUCUGAAGUUGACUGUACUAUCAGAGGAAGCCCCGGCUAACUCCGUGCCAGCAGCCGCGGUAAUACGGAGGGGGCAAGCGUUGUUCGGAAUUAUUGGGCGUAAAGGGCGUGUAGGUGGUUUUGUAAGUCAGACGUGAAAGCCCUCUGCUUAACAGAGGAAGUGCGUUUGAAACUGCAUUACUUGAGUACGAGAGAGGAGAGUGGAAUUUCCAGUGUAGCGGUGAAAUGCGUAGAUAUUGGAAGAACACCGGUGGCGAAGGCGGCUCUCUGGCUCGUUACUGACACUGAAACGCGAAGCUAGGGGAGCAAACG